UGGAGUGAUUUAAACAUAUGCGUAUAUAUUAUCAAAGGAAGCAGGUAGCACACUUCGAUUUGACGGAGUCUCUGGCUUAGGGUCCAGCCAUCAUGUCGUUUUAACGCUGAAGCGUGCAACAAGCAAUGCAUCGUUAUGGAUUGGGUUAAUUUCAGCAAAAGCAGUGCAUCCAGUAUUCUCAUCUGUGUAAUUACUUAAAUUGGCGUCUGAUCUGGUUCUAGAUUUUGAUGAAGGAAGCUCAAAAGGCGGAUACAAGGGGUGUGUGUUAUUUGAGCAGGAUCCCCUUAAAGUAUCUACUGAUAGGUGCCUUGUGGUUACUUGUCAUUACUUUCAAGGACUGAGGAAAGAAAGUAGCUGGUGCAGAUUAAUGUGGCACUUUCAAGACUGAGAUUCCAGCUCUAGCUAAUUAGCAGGUCAUCCCAGAGUAACUACCCUAUAAGUUGCAUAGCCUCUACCUAUUGUACUCUCCUCUGUUCCUGCUACCAACUCAUCUCAUUCAUCUGCUGCUGGUGUUGCAGCUG